rnacentral:rRNA from 1 species
AUUGAACGCUGGCGGCAUGCCUUACACAUGCAAGUCGAACGGUAACGCGGGGCAACCUGGCGACGAGUGGCGAACGGGUGAGUAAUGCAUCGGAACGUGCCUGGUAGUGGGGGAUAACUGCUCGAAAGAGCAGCUAAUACCGCAUACGACCUGAGGGUGAAAGGGGGGGAUCGCAAGACCUCUCGCUAUCAGAGCGGCCGAUGUCGGAUUAGCUAGUUGGUGGGGUAAAGGCCCACCAAGGCAACGAUCCGUAGCUGGUCUGAGAGGACGACCAGCCACACUGGGACUGAGACACGGCCCAGACUCCUACGGGAGGCAGCAGUGGGGAAUUUUGGACAAUGGACGCAAGUCUGAUCCAGCCAUGCCGCGUGCGGGAAGAAGGCCUUCGGGUUGUAAACCGCUUUUGUCAGGGAAGAAAUCUUCUGGGCUAAUACCCUGGGAGGAUGACGGUACUUGCAGAAAAAGGACCGGCUAACUACGUGCCAGCCGCCGCCGUAACAC